UACGUAGGUGGCGAGCGUUACUCGGAUUUACUAGGCGUAAAGCGCAUGUAGGGGUCCAGGUAAGUUUCUGGUUAAAUACUUCUGCUUAACAGAAGAACUGCCAGGAAAACUGCCUGGAUUGAGUGUGGGAGGAGGAGACGGAAUUCCCGGUGUAGCGGUGAAAUGCGUAGAUAUCGGGAAGAACACCGAUGGCGAAAGCGGUCUCCUGGCCCAAUACUGACGCUGAGAUGCGAAAGCUAGGGGAGCAAACAGG
rnacentral:rRNA from 1 species